rnacentral:rRNA from 1 species
CGGGACGGGUGAGUAAUGUCUGGGAAACUGCCCGAUGGAGGGGGAUAACUACUGGAAACGGUAGCUAAUACCGCAUAAUGUCGCAAGACCAAAGAGGGGGACCUUAGGGCCUCUUGCCAUCGGAUGUGCCCAGAUGGGAUUAGCUAGUAGGUGGGGUAACGGCUCACCUAGGCGACGAUCCCUAGCUGGUCUGAGAGGAUGACCAGCCACACUGGAACUGAGACACGGUCCAG